UACGAAGGGUGCAAGCGUUAUUCGGAAUUACUGGGCGUAAAGGGUGCGUAGGCGGUUCGUUAAGUCUGGCGUGAAAUCCCCGGGCUCAACCUGGGAAUGGCGAUGGAUACUGGCGAGCUAGAGUGUGUCAGAGGAUAGUGGAAUUCCCGGUGUAGCGGUGAAAUGCGUAGAGAUCGGGAGGAACAUCAGUGGCGAAGGCGGCCAUCUGGGACAACACUGACGCUGAAGCACGAAAGCGUGGGGAGCAAACAGG
rnacentral:rRNA from 1 species